AGUGAACGCUGGCGGUAGGCCUAACACAUGCAAGUCGAACGGCAGCACAGGAGAGCUUGCUCUCUGGGUGGCGAGUGGCGGACGGGUGAGGAAUACAUCGGAAUCUACUUUUUCGUGGGGGAUAACGUAGGGAAACUUACGCUAAUACCGCAUACGACCUACGGGUGAAAGCAGGGGAUCUUCGGACCUUGCGCGAUUGAAUGAGCCGAUGUCGGAUUAGCUAGUUGGCGGGGUAAAGGCCCACCAAGGCGACGAUCCGUAGCUGGUCUGAGAGGAUGAUCAGCCACACUGGACAUGAGACACGGUCCAGACUCCUACGGGAGGAAGCAGUGGGGAAUAUUGGACAAUGGGCGCAAGCCUGAUCCAGCCAUACCGCGUGGGUGAAGAAGGCCUUCGGGUUGUAAAGCCCUUUUGUUGGGAAAGAAAUCCAGCUGGUUAAUACCCGGUUGGGAUGACGGUACCCAAAGAAUAAGCACCGGCUAACUUCGUGCCAGCAGCCGCCGUAA
rnacentral:rRNA from 1 species